rnacentral:rRNA from 1 species
CGAGAUGAGUAUUCUAAGGCGCUUGAGAGAACUCUGGAGAAGGAACUCGGCAAAUUGACACCGUAACUUCGGAAGAAGGUGUGCCUUUAGUAGGUGUAGUUGUACAAACGAAGCCCAAUGAGGCCGCAGAGAAUCGGUGGCUGCAACUGUUUAUUAAAAACACAGCACUCUGCAAAGACGAAAGUCGACGUAUAGGGUGUGACGCCUGCCCGGUGCUGGAAGAUUAAAUGAUGGGGUGCAAGCUCUUGACUGAAGUCCCAGUAAACGGCGGCCGUAACUAUAACGGUCCUAAGGUAGCGAAAUUCCUUGUCGGGUAAGUUCCGACCUGCACGAAUGGCGUAACGACUUCCCCACUGUCUCCAGGAUAUGCUCAGCGAAAUUGAAUUCUCCGUGAAGAUGCGGAGUACCCGCGGUUAGACGGAAAGACCCCGUGCACCUUUACUGCAACUUCAGAGUGGCAUUAGGAAAGAAUUGUGUAGAAUAGGUGGGAGGCUUUGAAACUUGGGCGCCAGUCCGAGUGGAGCCAUAAUGUGAAAUACCACCCUAUUGUUUUCUGGUGUCUAACCUAGAUCCGUUAUCCGGAUCAGGGACCCUCUGUGGUGGGUAGUUUGACUGGGGCGGUCUCCUCCUAAAGAGUAACGGAGGAGUACGAAGGUGCGCUCAGACCGGUCGGAAAUCGGUCGUAGAGUAUAAAGGCAAAAGCGCGCUUGACUGCGAGACAGACACGUCGAGCAGGUACGAAAGUAGGUCAUAGUGAUCCGGUGGUUCUGAAUGGAAGGGCCAUCGCUCAACGGAUAAAAGGUACUCCGGGGAUAACAGGCUGAUACCGCCCAAGAGUUCAUAUCGACGGCGGUGUUUGGCACCUCGAUGUCGGCUCAUCACAUCCUGGGGCUGAAGCCGGUCCCAAGGGUAUGGCUGUUCGCCAUUUAAAGUGGUACGCGAGCUGGGUUUAGAACGUCGUGAGACAGUUCGGUCCCUAUCUGCCGUGGGUGUAGGAUACUUGAGAGGAGUUGCCCCUAGUACGAGAGGACCGGGGUGAACGAUCCACUGGUGGACCUGUUGUGGCGCCAGCCGCAGUGCAGGGUAGCUAUGAUCGGAAAGGAUAACCGCUGAAGGCAUCUAAGCGGGAAGCCCCCCUCAAAACAAGGUAUCCCUGAGGGCCGUGGUAGACCACCACGUCGAUAGGCCGGAGGUGUAAGCGCAGCAAUGCGUUCAGCUGACCGGUACUAAUGGCCCGAUAGGCUUGAU